CUCUAACCCAAGUGGAAGGAGACGCCGAAGGUGGGACUAGUGACUGGGGUGAAGUCGUAACAAGGUAGCCGUACCGGAAGGUGUGGCUGGAUCACCUCCUUUAAGGGAGACUUCGAGAAGAAGUCAGCAAGGAAAUGGGAAGGGCUAGAAAAAUAAAGAAAGAGGUGUUGGGGCUAUUAGCUCAGGUGGUUAGAGCGCACCCCUGAUAAGGGUGAGGUCCCUGGUUCAAGUCCAGGAUGGCCCAUUGGGGGUAUAGCUCAGUUGGUAGAGCGCCUGCUUUGCAAGCAGGAUGUCAGCGGUUCGAGUCCGCUUACCUCCAGAAGAACGAGUUUAGCACGGUGAGGUGUCACUACUGCUGAACAAAAAGUUCAGUGAGAACCUUGAAAACUGCAUAGAAAAUAGGGAAGAUUAAGGUCAAGAAAAGAAGGGCCGAUGGUGGAU
rnacentral:misc_RNA from 1 species